rnacentral:snoRNA from 1 species
ACUCUCCAGAUUCCUUACCUACCAGAUCUAAACACGGCUCUGCAUAGUUAUUCAAGAAGGAGAAGUAAAAUUGAAGUUGACUUAAUUUUUUUUUGGUGACACAUGAGCUAGUUUCAAGCAAGC